ACUGGUUAGGUUGAACCUUCAUGGGUGGACCGAACCGGUUUUUCCAACACGUUCAAAUUAAACCAAGGUCCAAAAUUCUAUCAAGAACUUGCAACAAUAAUAGUCUAGAUCAAGCAAAUGAGAAUGAGGCAAAGUCCACUCUAGGGAAAACCCUAAACAUUUCUUGCAACAACACCAUCUUCAUUCUCUUUGACCAUCAUCAUUUUCUUCCACUUUAAAGAAUUACUGAGUUAGGAACUGAAAUAACUGUAGAUAACGAGAAAAAGAAAAAGCCCAAAAGAUUCAUCUUUGUUUCCCCAUGAAUAAUGCUAUCAUAUCUCUCCAUGGCAUAAUUCUAUAAUAUCUCUUUAUAUGUUUUUUCUAUUGAGUUGAAGUAUCACUACCAGUAGCCACAAUGAUACCUCGCCACUAUGGUAUGGAUCGACUUUUAGUCUUCUUGAUGCCAACACAACAAAUUAGAAGUGACAUACCAACUGGUACACAUCGGUAGUUAAAUACUUGCCACCACUCUC
rnacentral:lncRNA from 1 species